rnacentral:rRNA from 1 species
AAAGAAAGUAAAUAAGGGCGUAUGGCGGAUGCCUAGGCUCAUGGAGGCGAUGAAGGACGUGAUAAGCUGCGUUAAGCCUUGGGUAGGUGCAAAUAACCUUUGAUCCAAGGAUUUCCGAAUGGGACAACCCAACUAUCAUCAGAUAGUUAUUACUGUAAUCAGUAAGGCAAACGGAGGGAACUGAAACAUCUUAGUACCUCUAGGAGAAGAAAAUAAUUAAAUGAUUCCCUUAGUAGUGGCGAGCGAACGGGGANAAGCCCAAACCACGGUUGUAGCAAUGCAAUCGUGGGGUAGUAGGACCAUAAUAUUGUANUUUGAUUGUGAAUAGAAUGAACUGGAACGUUCAGCCAUAGCGGGUGAAAGCCCCUUAUAUGAAGCAAGAGAAGACAUAGUGUNAUCCUGAGUAACGCGGAGCACGAGAAAUUCUGCGCGAAUCAGCCGGGCCCAUCCGGUAAGGCUAAAUACUCCCAUGAGACCGAUAGUGAACCAGUACCGUGAGGGAAAGGUGAAAAGAACCUCGAUGAGAGGAGUGCAAUAGAUCCUGAAACCAUACGCCUACAAGCGGUCGGAGCUGCUUUAUGCAGUGACGGCGUGCCUUUUGCAUAAUGAACCUACGAGUUACCGUCACCGGCAAGGUUAAGGAUAUUGAUAUCCGUCAACCGUAGUGAAAGCGAGCCUGAANAGGGCGAGGUUGUCUCCCUUUGUGGAGACAAAGCGCACUUUGUGCGUUUUAGUCGGUGGAGGUAGACGCGAAACCAAGUGAUCUACACAUGUCCAGGUUGAAGUCUCGGUAACACGAGAUGGAGGACCGCACCAAUAAGCGUUGAAAAGCUUCUGGAUGAGGUGUGUGUAGGAGUGAAAGGCCAAUCAAACUUGGAGAUAGCUCGUACUCCCCGAAAGGCAUUUAGGUGCCGCGUGCUAUGAUUUACAUAAGAGGUAGAGCGACCGAUAGGUCAAGAGGGCUUCACCGCCUAUCGCGACCUGACGAACUCCGAAUGCUUAUGUAUNGCAGUAGUGCAGUAAGGGGGCGGGUGCUAAGGUCCGUCCCCGAGAGGAGAAGAAUCCAGACCGCCGUCUAAGGUCCCUGAAUUCUGUCUAAGUUAGUCUAACGAAGUCCGGUCCCCGUGACAGCUAGGAUGUUGGCUUGGAAGCAGCCAUUCAUUCAAAGAGUGCGUAACAGCUCACUAGUCGAGGGUCUGGGCAUGGAUAAUAAUCGGGUAUAAGACAGAUACCGAAGGCGCGGGAUAGUAAUNAUAAAAGUAUCGGUAGGGGAGCAUUCUAUAUACGUUGAAUGGUNAAGGUAACUUUUCCUGGAGUGUAUAGAAAAGCAAAUGUAGGUAUAAGUAACGAUAAGAAGGGUAAGAUUCCCUUCCGCCGCAAGACUAAGGUUUCCCGGGCAAUGCCAAUCAUCCCGGGGUUAGUCGGGUCCUAAGUCUCAGCCGACAGGCGAGGGCGAUGGCAGACACGGUUAAUAUUCCGUGACUGCUGCAUGAUGCGAUUGUGGAGACGGAGAAGUGACACCACCNCGAGCUGACGGAAUAGCUCGUUGAAGAAAUUAGGCNUUGAUCAUGGUAGGCAAAUCCGCCAUGAGAGCUGACUUUUGAAAGUAUGGCAUUCCCUUCGGGGAAAGCCAAUAGUGUGGGUAAUCCUGCUUCCAAGAAAAUCCGCUAAGCUUCAGUCAUGCAGCACCCGUACCGCAAACGGACACACGUAGUCGGGUUGAAUAUACUCAGGCGUUGAGAGAUUCAUGGUUAAGGAACUAGGCAAAUUAACCCCGUAACUUCGGGAAAAGGGGUCCUCGUUUANUUACGAGGCGCAGAGAAUAGGUCCAGGCAACUGUUUACCAAAAACACAGGGCUGUGCUAACUCGAAAGAUGAAGUAUACAGUCUGACACCUGCCCGGUGCUGGAAGGUUAAGAGGAGAGGUUAUACGCAAGUAGANGCUUUGAAUUGAAGCCCCAGUAAACGGCGGCCGUAACUAUAACGGUCCUAAGGUAGCGAAAUUCCUUGUCGGGUAAGUUCCGACCUGCACGAAUGGUGUAAUGAUCUGGACACUGUCUCAAUCAUGAUCUCAGUGAAAUUGUAGUAUCGGUGAAGAUGCCGAUUACCCGCGAUGGGACGAAAAGACCCCGUGAACCUUUACUAUAGCUUAGCAUUGACCUUGGUCAUCCGAUGUGUAGGAUAGGCCGGAGGCUUAGAAGGAGGCGCGCCAGCGCUUUUGGAGCCAUCGUUGAAAUACGGCCCUUUGGCUGUCUGAGGUCUAACGCGCUNAANGUGCGGACACUGCUUGGUGGGUAGUUUGACUGGGGUGGUCGCCUCCAAAAGCGUAACGGAGGCUUCCAAAGGUGCCCUCAGGUCGAUUGGUAACCGACCUNUUAGAGUGCAAUGGCAUAAGGGCGCUUGACUGGGAGGCAGACAUGCCGAGCAGGCAGGAAACUGGGGCAUAGUGAUCCGGUGCAUGUGUAUGGAAACUGCAUCGCUCAAAGGAUAAAAGGUACUCCGGGGAUAACAGGCUGAUCCCCCCCAAGAGCUCAUAUCGACGGGGUGGUUUGGCACCUCGAUGUCGGCUCGUCACAUCCUGGGGCUGGAGAAGGUCCCAAGGGUUGGGCUGUUCGCCCAUUAAAGUGGCACGCGAGCUGGGUUCAGAACGUCGUGAGACAGUUCGGUCUCUAUCUAUCGUGGGCGCAGGAGUUUUGCGUGGUGCCGUCACUAGUACGAGAGGACCGUGAUGGACAGACCUCUGGUUUACCAGUUGUGCCGCCAGGCGCACCGCUGGGUAUCUAAGUCUGGUUAGGAUAAGCGCUGAAAGCAUCUAAGUGCGAAGCCAUCCGCAAGAUGAGAACUCCAUAUAAGGGUCGUUGUAGACGACGACGUUGAUAGGGUGCAGGUGUAAAGCCAGCGAUGGCAAAGCCGAGCACUACUAAUUGCCCAAGACUUUCUUUUG